rnacentral:rRNA from 1 species
GGGGGCCUACGGGAGGCAGCAGUAGGGAAUUUUCGUCAAUGGGCGCAAGCCUGAACGAGCAAUGCCGCGUGAACGAGGAAGGUCUUCGGAUCGUAAAGUUCUGUUGAAGGGGAAAAAGAGCGGAGAGAGGAAAUGAACUCCGAUUGAUAUUACCCUUCGAGGAAGUCACGGCUAACUACGUGCCAGCAGCCGCGGUAAUACGUAGGUGGCGAGCGUUAUCCGGAAUGAUUGGGCGUAAAGGGUGCGUAGGCGGCCUGCUAAGUCUGGAGUGAAAGGCACCGGCUCAACCGGUACAGGC